AACGAACGCUGGCGGCAGGCCUAACACAUGCAAGUCGAACGAGAUCUUCGGAUCUAGUGGCGGACGGGUGAGUAACGCGUGGGAACGUGCCCUUCUCUACGGAAUAGUCCCGGGAAACUGGGUUUAAUACCGUAUACGCCCUUCGGGGGAAAGAAUUUCGGGGAAGGAUCGGCCCGCGUUGGAUUAGGUAGUUGGUGGGGUAAUGGCCUACCAAGCCGACGAUCCAUAGCUGGUUUGAGAGGAUGAUCAGCCACACUGGGACUGAGACACGGCCCAGACUCCUACGGGGAGCAACGACGACGU
rnacentral:rRNA from 1 species